ensembl:lncRNA
GUUGUGGUGCUUCCCGUUGUUGUAGGAUCUGCUGUUGUAUUUUCUGAAGUUGUGGUACCAGUGGUGGUACUUUCUGUUGUUGUGGUCUCGGUUGUUGUGCUUUCUGGUGUUGUGGUACCUGUAGUGGUACUUUCUGGCAUUGUAGUGUCUGUUUUGGUCUCGGUUGUGGUGCUUUCUGGUGUUGUGGUACCUGUGGUGGUGCUUUCUGUUGUUGUAGUGUCUGUUGUGCUCUUGGUUGUUGCUCUUUCUGUUGUUGUGGUACCUGUGGUGGUGCUUUCUGUUGUUAUAGUGUCUGUUGUUUUCUCAGCUGUUGUGGUACCUGUGGUGGUGCUUUCUGGUGUUGUAGUGUCUGUAGUGGUCUCGGUUGUGGUGCUUUCUGAAGUUGUUAUAGCAGUGGUGGUACUUUCUGUUGUAGUGCUUUCUGUUGUUGUGGUUUCGGUUGUUGUGCUUUCUGGUGUUGUGGUAGCUGUAGUAGUACUUUCUGGAGUUGUGGUUUCUUCUGUUGUUGUGAUCUCAGUUGUGGUGCCUGUGGUGGUACUUUCUAUUAUUGUGGCUUCGGUUGUUGUUCUGGAUGUGGAACUUUCUUUUGUUGUGGUCUCCAUUGUUGUACUUCCUGGAGUGGUCGGUCCAGUGGUGGUAAUUUCUGUCAUUGUGGUGCUUUCUGUUGUUGCAGUCUCCGUUGUGGUACUUUCUGUUAUUAUAUAAUAACAUAUUAACCAAACUUUGUUUAGCACUUUUAAUAUCUAAAAUCCAGCUCAAAGUGCCUAACAAGAAGAAAAAAAAAACUGAAAAAAAAACUACAAACAAAAUUAAACAUUGUUCAACAUUGACACUGCAACCCACUAAAACAAUGCACACUUGUAUCAGUGUAUAAAAUAAUAAUAAUAAUAAUAAUAAUAAUUAAAAAUACUUGACUUGUGUUUUGAAAAUCUGAAAGAUUGAAGCCUGUCUAAUUUAAAUUGGUUGACAGUUCCAAAUGUUGGCUAAACGAAGCAGCAAAGAUUGACCUUGAAUUUUUUUUUUUAUUUUUUUUUGCAUAGUUUUCCAAAAGACCUGCACUAGAACAUUUUAAAUUAUGAUUUGGAAUAUAAUAACAUAAAAAUCAAUCUUUUCUCGAACUGGCAACCAGUGUAAUUUUAUUAAAACAUUUUGUAUCAAUUUUAGCUAAGCUAUGAGACAGUAUACAUAGCAUAACAGUAAUCAAGAUGAGCAAAAAUAAUAAGUUUUUGUCACUUGAUUAAUCUGAUAUUUAAAAGUCAUAGUCCAUAAUCACACAUAGGUUCUUUGCUUUUGUCUUAGUUUGUAGAUUAAUGCAGCAUAAUCCAGAUUCUUUCCUUCCUCUUUCAUGCUCAGCGCCCUCAAUAAGAGUUUCACUUUUAUCUUCAUGCAAGAGUGUCUCUGAAAUCCUCUGAAAUUUAUAAUUGUAUAUCAUCGACAUAAAAUCGUUAAUUCAUCCCAUGUUUCCAAGUUAUACUGACCAGAAAUAUAAUUUAUAAUGAAAAUAAAAGUAACCCAAGAAUUUAAUCUUUAGGAACA